CUUUCGUUCACUGUGGUAAAAAGAGAAGAAGUUGAUAUGGUAAAUUAUAGAAUUAAACAAAUUUCAGUGAGUAUAAUGUUACUUUAUUUGGAAAUAGUAUUUUUUAUUUACAUAAUUUUAUUUAAUAUCCCUACACCUAAGUCACAUCAAAUAAUGAAAUUUCGGGAAUCAACAAUACAACGAAUGAUUAUAUGCCAUUGCAACUUCUCCUAUUUUUACCAUAGUGUAAGAAAAAUUCACACUAUUUCAUAGAUUUAUGCUCAAAUUUAGAUACCUCAAGCCUAGUAAAUUGUCUAAAAAAUUCAAUUUAAUUUUUGUAUCAUUCGUAAACGUUGUUGUUGGACAAAUCAAGGUCUUGAAGAUUUAUAUUUACAAAAGGAGCUACAUCCAAAUUAUUUUUAUUUAUAUUAAUUUCUGUAUUUAUAGAAAUUCAUUUAAGUACCAAUAAUUUGAAUGUGGAUCCUUCCUCACUAAAUGGAUGUGAAAAUGUGUUGGAAUUAAUUUUGUUUAACAACAAAGUUAGGAACUUUAAUUGAAUAUACAUUAUAAACUAUUUUAAUUUGUGUAUAUAUAUAUAAAUAAACAUGUUAAUUGUUAAUUGAGAAUCAAUGAAUAUAGUGUCGAUGAGUAUUUU